AAAAUGAGGGUUUAACUGUCUCUUAUGAUGAUUCAAUUAAACUGAUCUCCCAGUCCAAAAGCUGGGAUACCCCCAUAAGACCAGAAGACCCUGUGAAGCUUAAACUAGACUAUUAAACCCAAUAAUAGCUCCUUUAGGUUGGGGCGACCUUGGAAAAAAAAAGAACUUCCAAACUAAAUGACCUACACCACACCCUACAGGCCAACAAGCCUUCAAUCGACCCAGCACAGCUGAAUAAUGAACCAAGUUACUCCAGGGAUAACAGCGCCAUCUUCUUCAAGAGCCCAUAUCAAAAAGAAGGUUUACGACCUCGAUGUUGGAUCAGGACAUCCUAAUGGUGCAGCCGCUAUUAAGGGUUCGUUUGUUCAACGAUUAACAGUCCCACGUGAUCUGAGUUCAGACCGGA
rnacentral:rRNA from 1 species